rnacentral:ncRNA from 1 species
CUGAAGAAUCGGCAAGCCAGUCGAAAGGCUGCGACGCAAAGCUACAAGGGCCUGUAAUAUGGCAGCCAGCCGCACGU